UUCAGGGGAAUCUAAUACCACCACCAAAGCUAGAAGAUAGAUUCGAGUGAACUAAGGUCCCAAAACUAAUAGCUAUGUUAGUGUUAUAGAUUAUUCAUAUCCAUAUCUAGAGAUUUCCUAUUUAGAUUUGACGUAGCUGCUGUUUGAAUACUCAAACCAAUGACAUCCCAAAAUCUCACUAGAUGUAGGUGUUGUAUUUAAAGAAAAUCGUUUCCAACAACAACUAAAAUCAUUUCCAUAGAGAAUCCCUGAUAUGUUUAGUGUUUAACCUUCUUACCCUUCUUUAUUUCUUUGAAUCUGAGGCUAAUCUGCAACUGACUUUUACUUUAUUCUAAGACGGAGUAAGUUCAAGUUGAGAUCAUUUGCAAGACCC
rnacentral:lncRNA from 1 species